GGAGUCUGAGGGUGCCUGGACUGGAACCCAGAGUAGAGGGUGGCCCUGGGUUCCCCUACCAGCCACUGAGGAAGGGCUGAGGUGAGGGGUGUACGGACCAUGGAACCCAGAGACUAAUGGAAAACUUGCUGUAAGGUCAUUGGACUAUAGCUGGGUUAGACUCUCUGUUACUGUGGAAGGGGUGGACUAAACUGGGACCUGGACACAGGGCCAAGUUGUGGGAAGAGAGACCACUGCAGUGAGGGAGCGACCGUCGGCAGGGGCGCCAUAGGGGGAAGACAGCUGCUGUGCCAUGCCUGGCCAUGAGGCGGCGCUGCUGUGGCUCGCCUCCGUACCCUUUGGAAAGCCUCGCAGUUUUCCCAGACCGUGCCGCUGGAAGAACAGAUCCACCCGUUCCAACCAGGGGACUUCGUCUGGGCCAAAAAGUUCGUUCGUGGUGACACCCUCCAGCCGAGAUUUACUGGACCCCACCAGGUUCUUUUAACAACCCAGACUGCAGUGUUCCUGGAAGGACGCAAAUCCUGGAUCCACCACUCCCACGUCAAGCCAGCCGUAGUGGACCACAGUGACGGACCAGCAGCUCUUGCCACCACUGAGGACACUGCCUCCAACCAGUGGACCAGCUUACCUCUUUCAGACAUCAGACUUAAAUUGACUCGGCAAAAAUGAGAGGACCUUUUAUUCUGACAACUGUAUGUUUUUUAUUAUGCCUUUUUAGUUUAUUUUCUACUUAUGAAGAUAAUGCUUUUAUUAGAUAUUCCCAUGAGGUUAAAACUCGUAUUUUAGGAAAUAGAAGUAAUUGCUGGGUAUGUACUCAAUUUCCAGUAAAUGCAGAACAGGGACUACUAGAAUCUUUAACCAAUGAAACUGCGACCCUAUUUGAGAAUCAGGCCGGGGAAAUGUCCCAGCUGCGCCAGUUAGCUUUGCAAAACCGAAUGGCUUUAGACAUAAUGUUAGCAGCCCAGGGAGGAACUUGCACCCUCAUAAAUGAAGAAUGCUGUGUUUUUGUAAAUGACACCUACUCUGACACUUUUCAACGUACCAAACAUCUAAGGGAAAUAGCUAAGAACUACUCCUCUGGCCAGCCACCUUAUGAUUGGUGGGGAGCCUUAUGGAAUUGGCUGCCUGGAUUUGGGUGGGUUAAAAAACUCCUGGUGGGUAUUGUUGGGGCCAUAGUAAUCCUUAUAAUACUGUGUUGCUGUAUUCAGUGUGUCCCUUCCCUCAUAAACUCAUGUAGGUCAGUUUAUUCUUUUCCUACUUCAGCCAAGGGCCUUACUCUCUUCGAGUUGGCCCAGGCUGAAAUUGCCAAGCGGCCCUUGGCUCCUUAAAAUGGGGUGUAGCUUUUGGUAAAUAGUUAUCCCAAAGCUACAAAUGGAGGAAUGUUGAGUCUGAACUUUUGAUGAGCUUAAACUUAACCCAGACUUGAUGUCUCUGUCUGAACUUUUAAUCAAAGCUCUGACCUGCGAACUACUCAUGACACCCCCCUCCCCUUAAGUAGUCAUCUCCCCUUUUCUCUUUCUGAAUUUACAUUUUAACCUGUUUUAUCCUGUAAAAUUUUGUUUGAUUAUGCAUGACCAUUAUGAUCUGUUAAUCACUUUGUUUACUUCUGUGUAUAAAUAUUGAUGCUCACCCCUAAUAAACUUGCCACACUUACUCUGAAGCUUUUCAAGCUAAGGAUAGUGUGAGCCCGUUGA